ACGCGUCGGUAGCGAAGCUAACGCGUUAAGUUCUCCGCCUGGGGAGUACGACCGCAAGGUUGAAACUCAAAGGAAUUGACGGGGGCCCGCACAAGCGGUGGAGCAUGUGGUUUAAUUCGAUGCAACGCGAAGAACCUUACCAUCCCUUGACAUCCUCAGAAUGAUCUGUAAUGGAUCGGUGCCUUCGGGAACUGAGUGACAGGUGCUGCACGGCUGUCGUCAGCUCGUGUCGUGAGAUGUUGGGUUAAGUCCCGCAACGAGCGCAACCCCUAUCUAUAGUUGCCAGCACGUAAUGGUGGGAACUCUAUAGAGACUGCCGGUGAUAAGCCGGAGGAAGGUGGGGGCGACGUCAAGUCAUCAUGGCCCUUACGGGAUGGGCUACACACGUGCUACAAUGGUGCAUACAGAGGGUUGCCAACCCGCGAGGGGGAGCUAAUCCCAGAAAGUGCAUCUUAGUCCGGAUCGCAGUCUGCAACUCGACUGCGUGAAGUCGGAAUCGCUAGUAAUCGCGAAUCAGCAACGUCGCGGUGAAUACGUUCCCGGGCCUUGUACACACCGCCCGUCACACCAUGGGAGUGGGUUGCUCCAGAAGUGGCUAGUCUAACCUUUCAGGAAGACGGUCACCACGGAGUGAUUCAUGACUGGGGUGAAGUCGUAACAAGGUAGCCG
rnacentral:rRNA from 1 species